GGGAACCAAGGUCAGUGUGGGCUUCUCACUCAAAGUAGGUCAGCUAAUCUCUGAGGAGGACAUGCUUUCCUGCCUCCCACAGCCAGCGUCCCGGGAGAACUCCACCCUCAUUUUUCAAGGCCUCACGAUUAGCUACAGAAAGGAGCUUUUGCAGUUGGAUUCUGUUGGUUUGGUUUUCUGUUUUGAAAGAAGACUCAGUCUGCUGCUGAGAAUGACCUUGAACUUCUGACCCUCCCGCAUCUACCUCCCAAGAGCUAGGAUUACAGGUAGACCUCAGCUGUAUAAGGAUGCCACCUAAGACCAGCCUGAGUAGCCAGUUCCAACAUGGUUUCCACUUCAAGCUCUUGCUUCAGGUUCUUUCCCUGCCAUCCUCAGUGAUGGAGUGAGACUUGGAAGUAUCAGCCAAAUAAAUCCCUUCCUCCCGAAAGUUGCCUUUUGUCAU
rnacentral:lncRNA from 1 species